AGGCGGUUACUUUAAUUAAAAUAUUUGAUUUCGACUCAAAAGCUGAUGGUUAAAAUCCACCACCGCCCA
rnacentral:tRNA from 1 species